rnacentral:misc_RNA from 1 species
UUUCCGUAGGUGAACCUGCAGAAGGUUCAUUAGUGAAUUUAGGAUGACUAUUUUGUAGUAUCCGACCUCCACUUCUAACACUGUGCUUUUUUAUGGCAAGUGUGAUCAGUAGAGGUCGCUCUGGUGCUUUCGAACGUCGGCUUUUCCCAUUUUACCUUUAUAACUCUAAGUUAAAGAAUGUAAUUAACUCAUAACAAUGAUAAACUUUCAACAACUGAUCUCUUGGCUCUCGCAUCGAUGAAGAACGCAGC